GACGAACGCUGGCGGCGUGCUUAACACAUGCAAGUCGAACGAAAAGAGGGAAAGAGCUUGCUCUUUCCGGAAUUGAGUGGCAAACGGGUGAGUAACACGUAAACAACCUGCCUUCAGGAUGGGGACAACAGACGGAAACGACUGCUAAUACCGAAUAAGUUCCAAGAGCCGCAUGGCCCAUGGAAGAAAAGGUGGCCUCUACCUGUAAGCUAUCGCCUGAAGAGGGGUUUGCGUCUGAUUAGCUGGUUGGAGGGGUAACGGCCCGCCAAGGCGACGAUCAGUAGCCGGUCUGAGAGGAUGAACGGCCACACUGGAACUGAGACACGGUCCAGACUCCUACGGGAGGCAGCAGUGGGGAAUCUUCCGCAAUGGGCGAAAGCCUGACGGAGCAACGCCGCGUGAGUGAUGACGGCCUUCGGGUUGUAAAACUCUGUGAUCCGGGACGAAAAGGCAGAGUGCGAAGAACAAACUGCAUUGACGGUACCGGAAAAGCAAGCCACGGCUAACUACGUG
rnacentral:rRNA from 1 species